rnacentral:rRNA from 1 species
UACUCCUACCGGAGGCAGCAGUAGGGAAUCUUCCGCAAUGGACGAAAGUCUGACGGAGCAACGCCGCGUGAGUGAUGAAGGUUUUCGGAUCGUAAAGCUCUGUUGUUAGGGAAGAACAAGUGCGAGAGUAACUGCUCGCACCUUGACGGUACCUAACCAGAAAGCCACGGCUAACUACGUGCCAGCAGCCGCGGUAAUACGUAGGUGGCAAGCGUUGUCCGGAAUUAUUGGGCGUAAAGGGCUCGCAGGCGGUUUCUUAAGUCUGAUGUGAAAGCCCCCGGCUCAACCGGGGAGGGUCAUUGGAAACUGGGAAACUUGAGUGCAGAAGAGGAGAGUGGAAUUCCACGUGUAGCGGUGAAAUGCGUAGAGAUGUGGAGGAACACCAGUGGCGAAGGCGACUCUCUGGUCUGUAACUGACGCUGAGGAGCGAAAGCGUGGGGAGCGAACAGGAUAGAUACCUGGGGUAGUCCA